CCUACGGGUGGCAGCAGUGAGGGAUAUUGGUCAAUGGGGGAAACCCUGAACCAGCAACGCCGCGUGAGGGAAGACGGUUUUCGGAUUGUAAAACUCUGUCCUCUGUGAAGCUAAUGACGGUAGCAGAGGAGGAAGCUCCGGCUAACUACGUGCCAGCAGCCGCGGUAAUUCGUAGGGAGCGAGCGUUUUCCGGAUUUACGGGGUGUAAAGGGUGCGUAGGCGGGUAAGCAAGUCAGAAGUGAAAUCCAGGGGCUUAACCCAAGAACUGCUUUUGAAACUGUUUAUCGUGAGUGAAGUAGAGGGAGGCGGAAUGCCCGGUGUAGCGGGGAAAUGCAGAGAUAUCGGGCGGAACACCAGUGGCGAAGGCAGCCUACUGGGCUUUAACUGACGCUGAAGCACGAAAGCGUGGGUAGCAAACAGGAUUAGAUACCCCAGUAGUC
rnacentral:rRNA from 1 species